ACAUGGCAAUCUAUGAAAUUAAUUUAUUGUUCAUAAGAUCAAUUAUCGACAAUAGAGACGGACAACAUAUCUCGGCAUUUUCCGUACCCGGUCUUUCUAAUCGUGUUUUGACAUGUCGCAUGUUUCUAACAACGAUUGGUCCUUCGCUGACUGGUUUUAAAACGGACUGAAACGAACGACGCUUGCCGGGCUUCAUUCAGUCAUUGCAGUGCGUCCCAUUUCUAUGCAAGAAUCAAGAGGCGAGAUCAUGCCGGCAAGAGGAAUAGUCAUGGAGGAGAUGUCGUCCUGCCUUCUCUGUCAACUUCACCCCAGGGGCUUGAGGCCAAAGAUGUCAACAGAACGUGUAUUUCGCAUCAUCUACACCAUGUCGGCUUGUCAAAAACAAACAACUGACGUUUUCCUGUCGCCAGAAUGAGAUGUUGGCAGUACAUGCAAGGACACGCAAUCACCUCCGCUUCUACUAACGUGUCAAGAUUAUUUUGUGAGAGUGAGUCAUUUAAAAUGGACUUGAUAUUAGAUGUUAAUAGUCAGAUGUAUCCUGUAGAAUUAGGUGACAAGUUUCGACUUGUUGUUGCAACAACGUUGCGUGAAGACGGUGCUCCAGAU